rnacentral:piRNA from 1 species
UCCAUCCAAUUCGGCCACGUUCUUUGAAA